AAUGUUAUUACAACUCCAGGCUUUUGCGGUGCUAUGGGAGAUUCCAUUCAGCUUCACAUGCCGUUCUCCUUGGUUGACUCAAGAGUUUUCACACCCUCGAAUCUCACAUGCAGAGAAAAUCGAUUUAUUUCUCUUAGUAGUAAUAUUAUCUUUAUCUGCUUAUCGCUACCAUCGGCCUAGAACUUUCAAAGUCACAAUUUAGUAAAUUUCAGGGUUUUCACAAAUGUUUACUAUUGUUCAGUUCAUGCAUGUAGGAGUUUAUUUAUUUACUUUUUAUUUAUUCACACAAAUUAUUGAGCAAUCUAAAGGGUUGAAAAUUAUUUGCUGUCUUUGACGAUGCAAUGUUGAUAGUUGAAAACCAAAACUAGCAUUUUUGGGGUCUCCUGAAAAGUGAUGAUUUUAGAGGUGUGACUGACUGUGUAGAGGUAAUUGGCCCCAACCUUGCUGUGUGGAGUUUGCAUGUUCUCACCGUGCCUGCAUGAGUUUUGUCUGGGUACUUGGGUUUCCUCCCACAUUCCAAAAAUAUGCAGGUUAAUACGUAGAACAGUCUAAAUGUCCCAUGGUGUGAUUGUCAGUGUGAAUAGUUGUUGUUUGUCUAUGUGUGCCUCACAAUUGGCUGGAAACCCAUUCAGGGUGUACCCCGCCUACUGCCCAAAGACAGCAGGGAUAGGUUCCAUCACGCCCAUGACCCUCGUGAGGAUAAGUGGUUCCGAUAAUGGAGGAAUGGAUGGAUGACCAAUGGCCAGCCGACGCCAGCAAUAUAACAUGCAGACGACUCGGAGGACGGCGAAGGGAUCCGGUCUUCGGGCAGUAGGCGGGGAACACCCUGAACCGGUUGCCAGCCAUCAAGAGAGAGACAGAGACAGAGACAGAGAGAAAGAGAAAUUUCACGAGCUGAUGUAACCACAGGACAGGAAAUGGUUAAUAUUUUUCACAGCCCCGUUUCACAGCGGAAAUGUCGGUGCUGUUGGACAGUCUGCGGCUAGAUGGAUGAAUGGCUUGUGGAGCCGAAGAUGAGAAGGAGUGUCAGCGCAGAGAGCAUUUGCGUAUGUGGAUCUGGGAGUCGCCGCUUGGAAUUGAAGUGGAUUUACAUGGGACAGGAGAUAUGAGCCAAUCUCUUUUUUUCGUCAACAGAUGCUACAGCUUCUCGUUUGCUUUCAAACUUCUUGUUGGCUUUCAAACUUAGCUUGUAGCAGACGUGUGCACAUUUUCAGCAUGGCGUCUGAUCCACUGGUGAAAGGACACUUUGAUUCUCUCCUCUUUCAUCUAUAACUGCUGAAAACAACAAAGUGUAUGCAGAACAAGUGGUUACGAUUGCAUGACUGUCUGUGUCUUAUGUGUUGUGCGGUAUUAUUUUGUUAUUUUAUGUUAAUUGUUCUGUUGAUGGCCACACGGGUACCCGCAGCGGCUCCCCUCUCUCCUGUGUUUGCACUGUGGUUGAGAGGAAAGAAAUUUCAUCUGUGCUUUAUGUUGCACAUUGAGCAUAUUUGACAAUAAAAGCUGACUUG